AGGACGAACGCUGGCGGCGUGCUUAACACAUGCAAGUCGAGCGGAAAGGCCCUUUCGGGGGUACUCGAGCGGCGAACGGGUGAGUAACACGUGAGUAAUCUGCCCCUUACUCUGGGAUAACUGCCUGAAAGGGUGGCUAAUACUGGAUGUGACCAGCGACCGCAUGGUGUGUUGGUGGAAAGAUUUUUUGGUGGGGGAUGUGCUCGCGGCCUAUCAGCUUGUUGGUGGGUAAUGGCCUACCAAGGCUUCGACGGGUA
rnacentral:rRNA from 1 species